GGGUUGUGAGGUUAAGCGACUAAGCGUACACGGUGGAUGCCCUGGCAGUCAGAGGCGAUGAAGGGCGUGCUAAUCUGCGAUAAGCGCCGGUAAGGUGAUAUGAACCGUUAUAACCGGCGAUACCCGAAUGGGGAAACCCAGUGUGACUCGUCACACUAUCAUUAACUGAAUCCAUAGGUUAAUGAGGCGAACCGGGGGAACUGAAACAUCUAAGUACCCCGAGGAAAAGAAAUCAACCGAGAUUCCCCCAGUAGCGGCGAGCGAACGGGGAGGAGCCCAGAGCCUGAAUCAGCAUGUGUGUUAGUGGAAGCGUCUGGAAAGGCGCGCGAUACAGGGUGACAGUCCCGUACACAAAAGCGCACAUGCUGUGAGCUCGAUGAGUAGGGCGGGACACGUGGUAUCCUGUCUGAAUAUGGGGGGACCAUCCUCCAAGGCUAAAUACUCCUGACUGACCGAUAGUGAACCAGUACCGUGAGGGAAAGGCGAAAAGAACCCCGGCGAGGGGAGUGAAAAAGAACCUGAAACCGUGUACGUACAAGCAGUGGGAGCACCCUUUGGGG
rnacentral:rRNA from 3 species